GACGUAGGGCGCGAGCGUUGUCCGGAUUUACUGGGCGUAAAGAGCGCGCAGGCGGUCGUGCAAGUCGCGUGUGAAAGCCCCCGGCUCAACUGGGGAGGGUCACGCGAUACUGCUCGACUCGAAGGCAGGAGAGGGAAGUGGAAUUCCCGGUGUAGUGGUGAAAUGCGUAGAUAUCGGGAGGAACACCAGUGGCGAAGGCGACUUCCUGGCCUGUUCUUGACGCUGAGGCGCGAAAGCUAGGGUAGCAAACGGG
rnacentral:rRNA from 1 species